UAUGAAUAAGGAUCGGCUAACUCCGUGCCAGCAGCCGCGGUAAUACGGAGGAUCCGAGCGUUAUCCGGAUUUAUUGGGUUUAAAGGGAGCGUAGGUGGACUGGUAAGUCAGUUGUGAAAGUUUGCGGCUCAACCGUAAAAUUGCAGUUGAUACUGUCAGUCUUGAGUACAGUAGAGGUGGGCGGAAUUCGUGGUGUAGCGGUGAAAUGCUUAGAUAUCACGAAGAACUCCGAUUGCGAAGGCAGCUCACUGGACUGCAACUGACACUGAUGCUCGAAAGUGUGGGUAUCAAACAGGAUUAGAUACCCUGGUAGUCCACACAGUAAACGAUGAAUACUCGCUGUUUGCGAUAUACAGUAAGCGGCCAAGCGAAAGCAUUAAGUAUUCCACCUGGGGAGUACGCCGGCAACGGUGAAACUCAAAGGAAUUGACGGGGGCCCGCACAAGCGGAGGAACAUGUGGUUUAAUUCGAUGAUACGCGAGGAACCUUACCCGGGCUUAAAUUGCAAAUGAAUAAUCUGGAAACAGGUUAGCCGCAAGGCAUUUGUGAAGGUGCUGCAUGGUUGUCGUCAGCUCGUGCCGUGAGGUGUCGGCUUAAGUGCCAUAACGAGCGCAACCCUUAUCUUUAGUUACUAACAGGUCAUGCUGAGGACUCUAGAGAGACUGCCGUCGUAAGAUGUGAGGAAGGUGGGGAUGACGUCAAAUCAGCACGGCCCUUACGUCCGGGGCUACACACGUGUUACAAUGGGGGGUACAGAAGGCAGCUACCUGGUGACAGGAUGCUAAUCCCAAAAGCCUCUCUCAGUUCGGAUCGAAGUCUGCAACCCGACUUCGUGAAGCUGGAUUCGCUAGUAAUCGCGCAUCAGCCAUGGCGCGGUGAAUACGUUCCCGGGCCUUGUACACACCGCCCGUCAAGCCAUGAAAGCCGGGGGUACCUGAAGUACGUAACCGCAAGGAGCGUCCUAGGGUAAAACUGGUAAUUGGGGCUAAGUCGUAACAAGGUAGCCGUACCGGAAGGUGCGGCUG
rnacentral:rRNA from 1 species